GUUCUGCAGCAUCAUUUCUAUGAAUGGGGCCAGCUACUGAAACCCAAAUCAUACUGAGUUUUUUGUUUGUCCAUCUCUGCCUCAGUAUAUGUCUGCAAGGCCUUGGUAACUGACAGCAGUUUCUAUCAGAGCAGGCACGCUAGUUUUCCUUUGAACAAAACGUCAGGAGGUGACACCCCAUGGUUCAUCAGUGCCAUUCUGUAAUGUAAAAGUGCUAAAUACAGAGCAGAGUCUGAUUCUGCAACAUUUUUCAGUAGGUGCUUUAUUAUUUUGACACCAUUUUCCACCAACUCAUUGGAUUGGGGAUAAUGGUACUCGUGGGGAAAUUCUGCGCCACUGCAUGCAGCAUAACUAACAUGCCACACGUAACUUUUUUUCCACAUAAAAUAACUUCUGCCAGAAAGUUUCUGCAGUUCCGCCUUUUGCCCACUGUAGGCCGCUGCGGUGCUAGAACAGAGUGGCCACUCCCGGGCAGGAGCAGGCCCAGCUGGCAAUAGGGCAGGGAAAAGCUUUCCUG